GCUGAUAUGGUGGAAUGGCAGACACCAGCGACUUAAAAUCGCUUGCCGAAAGGCGUGCGGGUUCGAGUCCCGCUAUCAGCA
rnacentral:tRNA from 1 species